rnacentral:rRNA from 1 species
AUUGAACGCUGGCGGCAUGCCUUACACAUGCAAGUCGAACGGUAACAGGUCUUCGGAUGCUGACGAGUGGCGAACGGGUGAGUAAUACAUCGGAACGUGCCUAGUAGUGGGGGAUAACUACUCGAAAGAGUGGCUAAUACCGCAUGAGAUCUACGGAUGAAAGCAGGGGAUCGCAAGACCUUGUGCUACUAGAGCGGCCGAUGGGAGAUUAGGUAGUUGGUGGGAUAAAAGCUUACCAAGCCGGCGAUCUGUAGCUGGUCUGAGAGGACGAUCAGCGGCUCGGGGACUGAGACACGGCGGAGACGCCUACGUGAGGCAGCAGUUGGGAAUUUUGGACAAUGGGCGAAAGCCUGAUGCAGCAAUGCCGCGUGCAGGAUGAUGGCCUUCGGGUUGUAAACUGCUUUGGUACGGAACGAAAAGCCCUGGGUUAAUACCCUGGGGUCAUGACGGUACCGUAAGAAUAAGCACCGGCUAACUACGUGCCAGCCGCCGCGGUAA